GCGGAUAUAGUUUACCUAAAACCCUAGAUUGUGAAUCUAGAAUCAGAAUCUAAAACAUUCUUAUCCACC
rnacentral:tRNA from 1 species